GAUGAACGCUAGCGGCAGGCCUAAUACAUGCAAGUCGAGGGGUAGAGGAAGCUUGCUGUCUUGAGAUCGGCGCACGGGUGCGUAACGCGUCUGCAACCUACCUUUAUCAGGGGGAUAGCCCGGAGAAAUCCGGACUAACACCGCAUAAAAUCACAGAACAGCAUUGUUUCGUGAUCAAAUAUUCAUAGGAUAAAGAUGGGCAUGCGUGGCAUUAGCUAGUGGGCGGAGUAAAGGCCCACAAAGGCGACGAUGGCUAAGGGCUCCGAGAGGAGAAUCACCCACACUGGUACUGAGACACGGACCAGACUCCUACGGGAGGCAGCAGUAAGGAAUAUUGGUCAAUGGGGGCAACCCUGAACCAGCCAUGCCGCGUGCAGGAAGACUGCCCUAUGGGUUGUAAACUGCUUUUGUACGGGAAUAACCACUGGUAUGUAUACCAGCCUGAAUGUACCGUAAGAAUAAGGAUCGGCUAACUCCGUGCCAGCCGCCGCUGUAACAC
rnacentral:rRNA from 1 species